CUCAGCUGGUGACUGGUUUCUGACUUUGGCUGUCAGCAAACAGUGUGUGGGGCUCUGCCUGCCCACGCCCUAUGUCUGUGAGUGCUGUGGAGGCCAUAUGAGUCAUGCCUGCAUUUUUACAGGGUGGCCUGGUAACUCUUGAUUGGCCACCAUGAAAACAUGGACCUCAGAAGCACAAGAUGGCAGGAGGAAGCCAUGGCUGCUGGCUGGUGCUGUUAUGAGCACCAGCAUUUUGUCAGUUUGGGGACUAGGAGGGUAGUCCCUGCCAUGUCCAACACCUGAGCCAGGAGAGGUUGGAUAUGGUGAAAAGGCUUUUGAUCUUUGCAAAGAAAGGAUCCCUUGAGGCUGGAGGCGGGCAGCCUUUAGGUGUCACUCACACUGGAGAAACUUUGAUGGAGCACUGACUGAGUCCCGGGAGAGGCCAUGUGAAUGGAGGCAAGAUGCUCCUGACUCUGGCCAGCUCAGGGAAAAGUCUAUCUGGGGUUUCCAGGAUCAACUGCCACGUGAGUAGUUUACUCAAUGUUCCAGAAGUAAUGAGGACAUGGCGUUAAAGAAGGACAUGAAGCCGAAGAAAAUAAUACAGAGCCUUGGUGAUGAGAACAACUGAAGAAUGGGCCUGGAGAGGAAG
rnacentral:lncRNA from 1 species